AUUCACUAGUGAUUGGCAAGUCUGGUGCCAGCAGCCGCGGUAAUUCCAGCUCCAAUAGCGUAUAUUAAAGUUGUUGCAGUUAAAAAGCUCGUAGUUGAAUUUCGGGACCAUCAUGUCGGUCGUGCCUCGGUACGUACUGGCAUUGUUGGUUUCUCCCUUCUGACGAACCAUGAUGUCAUUUAUUUGGUGUUGUGGGGAAUCAGGACUGUUACUUUGAAAAAAUUAGAGUGUUUAAAGCAGGCUCACGCUUGAAUACAUUAGCAUGGAAUAAUGAAAUAGGACGUUUGAUUCUAUUUUGUUGGUUUCUAGGAUCGACGUAAUGAUUAAUAGGGAUAGUUGGGGGCAUUAGUAUUCAAUUGUCAGAGGUGAAAUUCUUGGAUUUAUUGAAGACUAACUACUGCGAAAGCAUUUGCCAAGGAUGUUUUCAUUAAUCAAGAACGAAAGUUAGGGGAUCGAAGACGAUCAGAUACCGUCGUAGUCUUAACCAUAAACUAUGCCGACUAGGGAUCGGAUGAUGUUAAUUUUUUAAUGACUCAUUCGGCGCCUUACGGGAAACCAAAGUGUUUGGGUUC
rnacentral:rRNA from 1 species